rnacentral:lncRNA from 10 species
UAUUAAACCUCUUUCUUAUGGAAAUUACCCAGUCUUGGGCAUAUCUUUACCGGUGGUGUGAAAAUGGACUAAUACAGUAGCACACCUCAUACGGCUGAACAAAAUGGGGAAGAUGAGUGGGGAGCAGGAGAGAGAAAAGGGGUCUGUGGGACUCCAGCCUUUAUUGGGCCGAGAACAUUACCCAAAUAAGUUUUCCACGGGGCACUAGUCUGUGGGGUGAGUGCCAGCAGGCACAUUUCUUGACUCCCGCUGCAGGUCACUCUGGCAUGUGGAGGCUGUCCAUGUGCGCUGUGAGGUCUGUGGGGUGAGUCAGGUAGGUUGUAUCCAACGGUUCCAUAGCUGGUAGUCACCAGGAGGAGGCAACUGUGUAGGGUCAAUACCUGGGCCAGCCACACUGAGGAACUGUGAGGGUUAGAACUGGAAAUUGUCAAGGGAAUCUGAACCCAGCUACCAUAAGAGAGAGUUCAAUUUAUGUUCAAUGUGAAUGCCAUGGCAAUAUUAAAAGCUGUCCUGAGAGCAUGUCUCUACAUCUCUACCUGCAUUCUGGAAUCAGGGAGAAAGCCAAAACAGACAGACACUAGAUCAGCCGUGUCAACCCUUUGACUACAAGGACUUUUCCGCCUAUCUGUGGUGGGGUUCCUGGCAAGUCAGUUCUUCCUCAGGCCUUCGGUUUCCUCACCUACAAGAUGAGAGGGCUGGACCAGAUGGAAAUUCAGGGUGGAAGGGGAUGUCCGCGCACAGCCCACCACCCCCCCCCACAGGACCCUGGAUCCUUCAUCCCAGUUCCCACCACGCACCCGCCCCACAAAUCGCGCUCAAGAGUGAAUGUUGUUAACUUACUGAAGACCUGACGAAACAUGGGAAAGAUGGCAAUGUCUGACAAGAGGAACAGACGUGAAAUAAAAUCCAACAUUCUGUGUAAUUCUUAUUGUCUCUUAACCCUACUUGUUGAAUUACGAAAACUUCAUAUACAAAAAUUUGAGCAUUAUACUCUUUAGCUGUACAUUAUCAUUUCAAAACAAACUUAUACAUGGCUCUCACUAUUACAAUAGUCUUCCCACUGUAAAAACUUUUAAGCUGUAACUUUCUGCCAUUACUACGUUACCUUCGUAUUAGUUUAUGCCAUACUUCUUUCUGAGUUUCUGUCAAUAUUCAUCUGAGGUAUUUUUGUGUAAAAAUUAGAUAGUAACAGGAAAAUAGAUAACUGCUUCCAAUAUGUAGAAGUCAUUACUACAGCUUUGCCUAUUAACACAUACACACUAUUUCUUCAUGUCCCAGAUGUUCAGGUAUAUGGGAAUGAAACAAUGAGUUGGAACCUCUUGAUUCAGUUAUUCUGGUGACAAACAAUGUGUAUAGCUCAUUGACGAUUGUUUAACCCUUGACAAAAUGUGGCUGCAAUUGUUACUUGCAGAUGUAGCCACACUUAAUUUCUUUUCUCCACUCCCCACUGCAUUGUAUUUGUUAUUCUUGAUAUCAGAAAUGUGUUAAGAAAUAUGCCACUAACUGGGUGUGCUCCCUAUACAAUUAGCUACAGAAAGAGGUGAUAACUCAUAUUAUUUACAAAGAUUACAAGUAUAAAGAACCUUAAAAUAAUCAUUUUCUAUAAUUUGUUAUCAAUUGUUAAGUUUAUUUUAACAAUUAUCAAUUAGCUACAGAACACGAGUAGUGUUUCUUACUUUAGCCUGAUGUAAACAUGUGAUGCGGUAAUAUAGUGAAGAAUAUUACUCACUUCAGGGGAUAGGGCUUUGGUCAAGAAUUUUGAGAAACUCUUGAAAAAGGAAAAGAAAACCCCCCGUGAUAGUAAUACAAUUCCAAAAGCAAAAGGAGAAAAAAUGUAAAUAUAUUAAAUCAAAAAAUAUUUUAAGGUAAGGCAAAAGUAGGUAUAGAAUGGUGAGUCACAUACAAAUUGUGAAAGUGAGUAAUGGCCCAGAAAUCAAAGGAGAGGGAAAAAUAUGGUAGGUGAAUAUGGUUGCAAUGCUAAUUAAAAAAAUGUUAUUAGCAGCUAGCUCAAUUCAAGCUUUGAAUAAAUAGAAAGAGUGUUUAUAACAGUACGCUUAAUCUACUGGUGCUAAUAUUAAGAUAAUUGUUGAAAUAUACUUAAAAGAAGUUAGUGAAAGCAGAGAAUGAAAGACUAUUGAACUUUUCUGGUUUAUUGUGUAAAAAUUUGCCUGUAUCCAACAUACAGGCACAAAAAUAAAAUACUGGAAAUAGAGAGCAAAUCUUGGCCAUUCAAAUGAGAGUCAGUUAUUAAUUCUUUGGACAUAGGCUGUACUCCUACAAGCAAACUACGGCUAAAAUAUGCGAUUCAAUACAGAUACUCAUUUUUCAAGUGUUUACAACCUGUUUGAGUCCAUUUGGACUGCUGUAACAAAUUACCUUAGACUGGGUAAUUUAUAAACCAAAUUUAUUAUUCUCAGUUCUGGGGGUUGGGAAGUCCAAGAUCUAGGUGCCAGCAGAGUUGUUACCUGGUGAGGUUUGUUUCUCAAACUUACUGCUGCAUCUUCACAUGGCAUAAGGGCAAAAGGGACAAAGUAGCUCCCUAUGGGUUCUUUUAUAAGGG